CGGACUAACGUAUGUAAUAAUAGAGUAAUAAAUAAUAAGUAAACAUCCAAUGUCCAUUUUAGUGUUCGCAGUCAACACUAGAUAUGGACGCUUAUCUGAGGAAGUGACAUCUGCAAAUUCAACUAAAGAAAGGAGAAGGGAUGGAUAUGAGAGAUAUAUUGGGCACGUGCAAACGAGGACUCGAGCGUCAAUCGAUAUUUGCUCGAAAUAAUCGAUAAGGAUCGGUGUCAAGUUUCGUUUAACACUUUAUCUCAUUCGGCAUGCUUGAAAUUCACGUCGAAGUCCCAUUUCCAAGAAUUAGUGGCGUUAGCGACGUAUGCUUAAAUGAGCACUACAAUACAGCGUUGAAGGUUAGCAUUUGUCUAGUGAAAACAGAUUAACAAUAAAAAAAUGUUGCUUUCUUUGUGGUGCGCUAUAGUACAAUACCAUAGGUGUCAAUAAUAAGUAAGUAUAUCUAAGUAUAUCUCUGUAAGGAUCGUAUAAAAAUGGUUCACGUAAAUCCUGUAAAUACAAUUCGUUUACUUAUGAUUACGUUCAAAAUUGUGGAUAAUAACAAUAUAAUGAGAUAUUAUAAUGAGAAGAGAAAUCGACUUAGAAGGUAUAAUAAAAGAUACGCUUAUUGUAUUAAUUUGUGGAACCGCUUAAACCAUAUUCUGUAGAAUUUCUAGAUAAUAUAUAACGAAGAACUUUCAGAAGCGAUAGAGGUCUAAGAUAAGUAUGUACUAGAAUAAGGAGAUAUUGUGACUUUAGAAUACAAAAUUAAUGUUGCAUUUUGGAAAAGUGGAAAGAGGACACGACUUUCCCUAGACACUCCCAGGCAUAAAUUUUGAAAAGUUUCAUCUCUUUAACAAUUGUAUAAAUAUAUAAUUAUAUAGUUAUCUAUUCGUUUUUUAUCUAUGCGUAAUUGUCUUAUUUAGAUUAUUAGAUGGAAAGAGAUGGCAAAAAAACGGAGAACACGCGGGGAAAAUUGUUACAAAUUUCCGAAUAUGUUUAUAACAAGUUUGUUAACGCUCAUGCUGUUAUUCGUGAUUUGAGCUUUUGAAGAUGGGCACUAGAAGCUAUUGAAGAAAUAGAAUUUCAUUAUCAUGAAGAAUAAUUCAUAAUACAAUUCACGUGACAUUUGUAUUUUCGAAAUUAUUUAUCUAUUCUUUAAGUGUCUAUUCAUACACGUAAAAAUGGAUGAGGAAUUGCUAGAAUAACUGGACGGGCGAGUGGAGAGGAAACCAGAGGAUAUAAAGAAGAAGUUGAAGGGAAAACUAAAUGUCAAAGCAUGCGGAUACGGUAGAAUAUACGAAAGGAAAAUGUCUAAGAAGAGGGAGUAAGGAGACGGGAAAGGAGGAGAGAAGAGAAACUAAACAACGAGGACAGCUUGAUUAUGUGAAUAAUAUCAUGGUUUUCUUCCUACGUAUUUUGCAAACUCUUGGAGUAUUAUUAGUCACUAUAUAUUAUAUCCGAAAAUAUGAAAAUGUACAAAUAGUGCGAUAAAUAACUUACUUACUUAUAUACUUACUUCUUUAAUUGCUUAUUAAAUAUCUAUAUUAUUUGCUACGAGAAAGAAUAAAAGAGAAGUUUGACAAUCAUA